AACUUUCAACAACGGAUCACUUGGAUCUCGCAUCGAUGAAGAACGCAGCGAAAUGCGAUAAGUUAUGUGAAUUGCAGAAUUCAGUGAAUCAACGAAUCUUUGAACGCACCUUGCACACAUUGGUAUUCCUAAGAGUAUGCUCGUUUGAGUGUCAUUGUCCUCUCACACUCUAAUUAUGGAGAAGUGGACUUGGGUGUUGCUGCUUUGCUGUGGCUCAUCUCAAAGAUGCUAGUGCAACUCAUGGUUGGAUAUAGUACAGCGUGAUAAGUAUCUUCGCUGGCACCUCAUGAAGAGGGUGUCCGAUUGGGAGCUCUGUGCUUCAAACCGUCCGAUCUGGGACAAUUUAUGACAACUUGGCCUCAAAUCGAGUAGGACUACCCGCUGAACUUAAGCAUAUCAAUAAGCGGAGGCU
rnacentral:misc_RNA from 1 species